rnacentral:lncRNA from 1 species
AAAUUUGAAAGCUUGCUUCUGAGUGGUCAAAUCAAAAAGGCAAGGAUUGGCUUUUGUCAUUCUAACGGCCGUUGAUAUUAAUAAAUCUAACGGCCACAAUUUAAUCAGAUUCUUUUUUUCUUCCUCUUAUGUGCUUUCUCCUUUGUCAGUUUCACACAUCGAACCUUUUUCAUUCUCUUCAUCUUCUUCUUGAAACCUUGUCGCAUUCUUUUAUUUAUCUUUUUUUUCCUCGUCCAUUUCUCUUAGUCUUAUUUCUCUUCAUCUCCUUAUGCUAGUCUAAUUGAUUUUUGUUUUGUUUACAGAUCUGAGAAAAAGGAGCAGCUAUAAGACGGGAAGAAGAAGUGGUGGUCUGACAGAGCAGACGCGCCAGAGAUGGAGGUGGUCUAACGAAUCGGAGGAAUGGUAGAUGCUGUAUGUAUUAGACCAACACCGGUGGCUCCACGACCAGAUCGAGUCGUGGCUCCAGUUGGAACCACUCCAAGUUGUCGCUUCAGAUGGAACUCCGAGUCGUCGUGGGCCGUGCAACUGGAGCCGGUGGAGAAGCUGGUGGGAGGCCGAGAUGUUGAUGGUGUAUUUGUGUAUAUAUAUGUGUAUUUAUCUUUGUAAUUUGACCUUUUAAUUAUAUUUAAAUUAAUAUUAAAUUUUGAUUCUGAAACUUUUUAAAAUUAUUAAUUAUCUUUUAUAAUUUAGGGGAUUCAAACUAAUAAUUUAUCAACC